rnacentral:pre_miRNA from 1 species
AGGGUAAUUGUUGGAUCAUAUGGUAAGAAACUGUUUAGUUUUAAAAGAAAUUUCUAAACUCUCUUCCAAAGUGUCUGUACUAUUUUGCAUUCCCGCCAGCAGU